rnacentral:rRNA from 1 species
UCCGGAGACCUACGGGUGGCAGCAGUGAGGAAUAUUGGUCAAUGGACGAGAGUCUGAACCAGCCAAGUAGCGUGCAGGAAGACGGCCCUAUGGGUUGUAAACUGCUUUUAUAAGGGAAUAAAGUGAGUCUCGUGAGACUUUUUGCAUGUACCUUAUGAAUAAGGACCGGCUAAUUCCGUGCCAGCAGCCGCGGUAAUACGGAAGGUCCGGGCGUUAUCCGGAUUUAUUGGGUUUAAAGGGAGCGUAGGCCGGAGAUUAAGCGUGUUGUGAAAUGUAGACGCUCAACGUCUGCACUGCAGCGCGAACUGGUUUCCUUGAGUACGCACAAAGUGGGCGGAAUUCGUGGUGUAGCGGUGAAAUGCUUAGAUAUCACGAAGAACUCCGAUUGCGAAGGCAGCUCACUGGAGCGCAACUGACGCUGAAGCUCGAAAGUGCGGGUAUCGAACAGGAUUAGAUACCCUUGUAGUCCUUCGCCU